rnacentral:rRNA from 1 species
AACGAACGCCGGCGGCAGGCCUAACACAUGCAAGUCGAGUGCCCCGCAAGGGGAGCGGCGGACGGGUGAGUAACGCGUGGGAACGUGCCCUUUGCUACGGAAUAGCCCCGGGAAACUGGGAGUAAUACCGUAUAAGCCCUACGGGGGAAAGAUUUAUCGGCAAAGGAUCGGCCCGCGUUGGAUUAGGUAGUUGGUGGGGUAAUGGCCUACCAAGCCGACGAUCCAUAGCUGGUUUGAGAGGAUGAUCAGCCACACUGGGACUGAGACACGGCCCAGACUCCUACGGGAGGCAGCAGUGGGGAAUCUUAGACAAUGGGCGCAAGCCUGAUCUAGCCAUGCCGCGUGAGCGAUGAAGGCCUUAGGGUUGUAAAGCUCUUUCGUGGGGGAAGAUAAUGACUGUACCCCAAGAAGAAGCCCCGGCUAACUCCGUGCCAGCCGCCGCGGUAA